ensembl:lncRNA
GCAAUGUGGAGUGUCGGCGUGGCUGUGAAAUCCCGGCAAGACUCAUGUGACUGCUUCUGGGAGUACACAUUGGUACAACCAGCUCAGGAGACUGUUUGGCAAUAAACACAGGCCCACCUCUGACCCACAUCCCCACUCAUGGCAAUGACCCCAGGUUAAUGAGUGCAUGUAUGCGGUGAGCACACGGAGACGGUUCCAGUUCCCCACAGCAGCCCUGCCUGUAAUGCCAACAGCUGAAAACAACCAAAAUGAACAGGAGAAUCAACAUGAGAACCGUGGUGUGUUACAACUGCUACAGAGCAAUGAAAAGAAACAAACCACGAUUACACCAAUGAGGAUGAGGCUCCCAGACUUAAUGCUACCAUUUGUCAAACCGACUACGUGGCAAGCACUGUGCCAAAAACUGGUCUUUGAAGUAAUUAUUCCACAAGUACAGACUGAACAUGAACGUGGGGCGAACACUUCACAAGGCACAGGGUAUCUCCUCAUCACUCACUGUCCCGUGAAGCUCACAUCUUCUUAGAGGAACAGAGUAAGAGCUAUGGAGAAGAGCAGCAUGGAGGUAGCGAUAAACCACUUGCUGGAAAUUACACAGAAGCGUGGAUUUUUUGGGUGUCUCUCAUGGGCCCUGCCUGGCAACACGGUAGAUGGUAGCAAACAUCAGUCCAGUGAACGAAUACCACUGGAUACUCACAAGAUCCUAUAAGGUACCUGCUGAUACAAACAGCUGCGGUGAGGCUGAGCACCAGGCCCACGUCGCAGGAGGCAUGGAGGGUGGCACCCAUGCACACCCUCCAGGGUAGAGCGCUCUCUCCCCUAAGGCUCAGUCGCUGCCACCGCCCUUCCCUUGUGCCACCACGUGGAUUUAAAACCCACGCGGCCACCCGGCUCCUGCCCCUCUUCCGCCAUUGGGCAAGGCCGCCCGCACUUGUGUCCAAUCGAAUAGGGGCCCCCAGAAUGCAAACUUGGGAUUGGCUCGUCCGCUGUGUCAUUUCGUGCUGCUUCUGACGUCAGCGGUGUCUGGCACCCCCGCCUCUUCCGCGUCUUAACUGGAGUUAAAGGAGCCGCACGGGAGAAGACGUGCAUGUUGCUUCAGAGGCACUUUCAAGUAACCUUUAAAUGUUUUUUUAAAAAUAACGUUAAUUGUAAAAAAUACAGCAAACCAUAUAAGAGAAAUGUUAAUUUCACUUAAUCCAUUACAUAAAACUAGCUGCUGUUAACAUUUUGGCAUGUAUCAUUUAGUCUUUUUUCCUAAUAAUAUAAUUUUAUUUGUACAAAACUGGGAUCAGUUUUGAAGCCCAUUUUAAAAUUUACUUUAAAAGAAGUCCAAGAAGGGCUUCUUUCUAUAUUGUCAAAUAAUCUUUGAAAGCAUGUUUUAAACAGUUGUGUUAUAUUUGAUCUUCCUGAUUCAACCAAUCCCUUAUAUUUUUUUCUUAAUUUCAUUGAAUUUUGCUUUUCCAAAUGAAAAUAAAUAGGAUCAAGUUCUCUGAUUAUUUCCUUAAAAUAUGUUGUAGAAAUGGAAUCAGAGGGUGAGGACAUUCAUCCUUUAAGGCCUGAUGCAUAUUGCAAAAUUGUCUUGCAUACAUUCAUUCAGCAGGUAUGUACUGAGCCAUCAUACCUGCCAGUUCCUGCUGUGGAUACAGCAAAGAACAAGACAUACGUAACCCAUACCUCUUUCAAAAGUACUGUGCCAGUUUCAUCACCUCUGAAGCCAGCAUUGUGUUCCUAAGCCAUGUGUCUGAGCCCAGGGCUCCCUGUGCAGAGGGGAAGAGGUUCUGUCUCCAGCUCCAGCACAGGGUCUGCAAACGGAAGGUUUAGAGCAUUUUCUGGGUGCCACAUCCUUGGGUGGUGGGGGCCUGUUGGGGUAUAAUGAUGCCCCAUUCCUCUGGAUUCCAACGGUUCCUGUCUGGUGUUCUGGAGGUCUUGGGGACCUCUGAGUGUCCCUUCCUGGGACCAAACAUGGAGGACGUGCAGGGACAGUCCAGCGAGAGACACUGAACAAAGCAACUCACAAAUUCAUUUAAAAAUUACAAUUUGGGCUAACUUCUCCAAAGGGAAGGAGGGUAUUCUAGGGUUCACUGGGGUUUUGUAUGGAACAGGGAGUUCCUGCAGCGCAGAGCAUGAAGUAAUAACAACAAUUAACUUUGGGGGACUUCCCUGGCAGUCCAGGGGUUAAGACUUUGCCUUCCAAUGCAAGGGGUAUGGGUAUGAUCCCUGGUUGGGGAGCUAAGAUCCCACAUGCCUCAUGGCCAACCCCCCCCCCCCACCCUCCAAAUCAUAAAACAGAAGCAAUAUUGUAAGAAAAUCUCAAUAAAGACAAAAAAAUGGCCCACAUUAAAAAAAUAAUAAUAAACUUUUUUCAAGAGCCUCUUCCCAGCCAAGCCUGGGAGUUUUCAUAUUUAAUCCUCCCAAUAGUGUUAUAAGUUCCUUGAUGGUCUCCAUUUUAAAGGUGAGGAAACUGACGCCUGGAUUCAUUAA